GUUCUCUCCGAAAUAGCUUUAGGGCUAGCCUCAAGUGAUGAUUAUUGGAGGUAGAGCACUGUUUGGACGAGGGGCCCCUCUCGGGUUACCGAAUUCAGACAAACUCCGAAUGCCAAUUAAUUUAACUUGGGAGUCAGAACAUGGGUGAUAAGGUCCGUGUUCGAAAGGGAAACAGCCCAGACCACCAGCUAAGGUCCCAAAAUAUAUGUUAAGUGGAAAAGGAUGUGGCGUUGCCCAGACAACUAGGAUGUUGGCUUAGAAGCAGCCAUCAUUUAAAGAGUGCGUAAUAGCUCACUAGUCGAGUGACACUGCGCCGAAAAUGUACCGGGGCUAAACAUAUUACCGAAGCUGUGGAUUGUCCUUUGGACAAUGGUAGGAGAGCGUUCUAAGGGCGUUGAAGCAUGAUCGUAAGGACAUGUGGAGCGCUUAGAAGUGAGAAUGCCGGUGUGAGUAGCGAAAGACGGGUGAGAAUCCCGUCCACCGAUUGACUAAGGUUUCCAGAGGAAGGCUCGUCCGCUCUGGGUUA
rnacentral:rRNA from 1 species